rnacentral:rRNA from 1 species
GGGUGCAUACCAGCACUAGUGCAUUGGAUUCCAUCAGAACUUUGAAGUAAAGUGUGCUUGGGCGAGAGUAAUAAUAUGAUGAAUGACCUUCUAGGAAGUCCUCGCAUUGCACCCU